rnacentral:lncRNA from 1 species
CAUUACGCUGAACUUCCUUGUUCUCCCUCGGGUCCUCCCGGCCCUUCCGCGCCCAGGGGAAGCACCGGCGGCGCGGCCCUGCCGCCGGCCGACCCGGACCAACGUCCGCGCCGGCGCGGGCCUCCUCACGGCCCUGCCGCGAUCGCCUCCCCUCCCGCCGGCGGCGGCGCGCCCGCCCUCCGUGGCCCGCGGGGCGCCGCUCGGCCGAGCGCACGGAGGCCCCGGCCCCUGCCCCGGGUCCGCCUGCCCCUUCCCGAGCGAGGGCCGGCGGAGGGCCGGGAGGGCUGGGGGACGCGCGCCCGACCCGACCCACCUGCGCUCCUGCCCCGGGCGGGGCCUGGCCCGGGCUGCGCACCCCGACGCGGCGGCGGGAGGCCUGCUCGCUCCCCGCGGCGGAGGGCGAUCGGGCGCCCAGCGCGGCCCGGCCGAGCCCAACGCUCGGCCCGAAAACCAUUUGUUUGGCUAAAACGCCGUGACGUCACGCGCCGGCCCGAUCGGCGGUUGGCCGGGGAGGGGCCGGGCCGGGCGUGGCAGCGCCCCCUGCCGGCCGUGCUGCGGGGCUGCAGACGCUGGGACCGGCGAGCGGGGACCCGGAACGGCAGACCCGGGUGAAGCGUCCGCGGGCCCCCGGCGGUGGAGAAGCGGGAAGGCUGGAGCGCGACCUGUGGAGAACCGAGCUACCCCUCGGGCUGGCCAGGCCUCAGUCAAGGGACAGGACAAGUUUGCUAAUACUCGGGGGUGGGCCUGGAAUUAUCGAUGCUGCUAGCUUGCUACUACAUGUCCUGGUAGACUUGCUUCCAACCGGCCGGCGGGGCUUCAGAGUUCUCGUUUGUAAAUGAAGGAAGGGUUUGGGAAACUCCUCUGACUGUCGUUCUUUUCUCUGCAAAUCAUGGCAGGAAUGCCUACCAGCAAGCAAACUUGGAGAGCGACAGUCUUAAACAGUGGUCUGUAGAAGCUUAAAGAAUUGUAAAGGAUGGAUAUAAAAGAGGUUUUUAAUACUUAAUUAAUUUCAACUUUCUUUUUUUGGUAAGGAAGACUCACCCUGAGCUGACAUCUGUGACAGUCUUCUCCUAUCUUGUAUGUGGGUCGCUGCCACAGCAUGGCUGACAAGCAGUGUAAGUCCGUGCCUGGGAUCUGAACCCAAAAACCCCGACUGCCCAAGCGAGGCGUGCAGAACUUAACCACUGGGCCACCAGGGCCGGCCCCUUAAUUCAACUUUCAAAUCAGAGUGCCAGAGAGAAAUCUUUGUAUCUUCAGCCUUUAAAGUGAUAAUUGCUUUCACUGUAAAAAUAAUUUUAGCCACAUCAUAAAACAGGAGGACAGUAAAGAAAAAGUCCUUCACCCAAACCCAGCUGCUCAGCGUUUGGCAUAUUUUCUUUGAGACCUUUUGUGCCAUGCAUUUUUAUUUUACAAUGUUGUAAUCAUAGUGUGCACACAAUUUUUGACUCUUUUUUUUUGCUAUUAUGUGUUUUUCAUAUUUCUACAUAAGCUUCAUAAGCACUUUAACAGCUGCAGGAAAUUAUAUUAAGUGGACAUACAAAAUUUAUUAAAUUCUCUAUUCUUGGACAUAACAUUUUCUUCCUUUUUUGCCAUUAUAAAGAAAUCAUAGGCUAUUUUAAUGAAUGCAGAUUUUUAAAGAUAAAUACUCAGAAAUUGAAUUACUAGGUGAAAGAGUAUCAACACUUACAGUUACUAAUACAAAUUGCCAAAAUGACUUUUAAAAGAUUGAACCACAUUGCACUUAAAUCAGCAGCUUUGAUUUUAACCAGUCCUUAAAAAAGUAGAUUUAUCCAAUUAUAAGGCUACUUUUAUAAAAUAUAUAUUAUAAAAUCUUAAAUAUCAAAAAGUAAAAACGAGCCAGCUCUGAUUGCCUAGCAGUUAAAGUUCAGUGUGCUCUGCUUUGGCAGCCCAGGUUUGGUGGAACCACACCACUCAUCCGUCAGUAGCCAUGCUGUGGUGGUGGCUCACAUAGAAGAACUAGAAGGACUUACAACUAGAAUCUACAACUAUAUACCAGGGCUUUGGGGAGAAAAAAACAGUAAAGUAAUAAAAAGAAUUAAAAAAAUAUUUCCCA